rnacentral:rRNA from 2 species
CCUACGGGAGGCAGCAGUAGGGAAUCUUCCGCAAUGGACGAAAGUCUGACGGAGCAACGCCGCGUGAGUGAUGAAGGCUUUCGGGUCGUAAAACUCUGUUGUUAGGGAAGAACAAGUACAAGAGUAACUGCUUGUACCUUGACGGUACCUAACCAGAAAGCCACGGCUAACUACGUGCCAGCAGCCGCGGUAAUACGUAGGUGGCAAGCGUUAUCCGGAAUUAUUGGGCGUAAAGCGCGCGCAGGCGGUUUCUUAAGUCUGAUGUGAAAGCCCACGGCUCAACCGUGGAGGGUCAUUGGAAACUGGGGAACUUGAGUGCAGAAGAGAAAAGCGGAAUUCCACGUGUAGCGGUGAAAUGCGUAGAGAUGUGGAGGAACACCAGUGGCGAAGGCGGCUUUUUGGUCUGUAACUGACCGCUGAAGCCCGAAAGCGUGGGGAGCAAACAGGAUUAGAUACCCUGGUAGUC